AAGCAAAUGAACACCAAUGCUAACAUCACUAGAAAAGUAAUAAUAAGGCAAAUGGCCAUCAAUAUCAACACAGGAACUAAAUUGAAAACUCAUAGAAACGGAAAUCCAUUAUUCCGUCAAAGGGUAAUCACUGGAGAAAUUCCUUUUGAUUCCACAAGCAAUGUGUAGGGUUUCUUGACCCACUCCAGCCUCAAUACAGCCAACAAAGGUUUUGCAGGGAAAAAGAGCAGGCCCCAGCUAUGAAAGGGCAAACCCCAGACAUUCAAACAAAUCCAAUCACAUCCACCUUUACAAUACUUUUUGGAUGGCCAGCAUGCAGCACAGAUUUAUCAAAUCAAAAACAGAAACAGAGCCCCUCCUCUUCAAUAUUUUCCCCUCUCACUCCACAAUUACUAUCAGCCUUUGCAAAGAUGCAAAAAAACAUCCCAUUAUAAACCCAGAAAGAAAGGUAAAAUACAAAAAAAAAUAUUGUUGUUUAUGAUAAUAACAAAGAAAUUUUUAGAAAAGAGCAAAAAGGGACAUAGAAAAGGGGAAAAAAAAUGAAUUGAACAUGUGAGUAAGCGUAUGAACUGACUGUUCUACAAGGAGCUUUCUUGACCUCUCUUCAGGCCUCAGUUUUUUUUUUUGUUCACCUGGUGGCAUUGUUCUAUUGACAAUCACCUUUUACAUGUAGCCCAAAGCUUUGCUUUUUAUUUCUCUUUUACUUCUCUUUUUCUCCUUUCUAUAAUCAUUCCUUGAGGGAACAUUUAACACCAAAAUAAUAAUCGAGAAGCGCUCAAUAGACGAGUAAUCUUGAUUUUUUUUUUGUUUUAAAAAAAAACACCAAAAUGGCAGAGCCCUUAAAACCACGGUUUCCCUCUAUCGUUGCUUCUCAUCAGUUAAGCCAAAAUUUUUAUCAGAAUUAUCGAAUGCAAGUCUUUUCCUCUUAGUGCCAUUAGCACAAGUAACUGAAGAAUUCUCUAAAACAUCUAUUGGAUUCAAUUGGGCAGCAGGCGAGAGAUCCUGCGAAUUUACAAGCUUUGGUGUUUUAAGAUUCUCCAUUUCCAGUUUUUGGACUAGAGUGUAGCAUUGAAACACAUCUUCCUGUCACAGAAAAAGAACAAGAAGUUGCAAGUCUCAUUGAUCAGAAUAUGCUCUAAACUUAAUGCAUUCAUCUAAUUGUGAAUAAUUGAAUUAUAAGUGAACAAAUAAGGACUCACAAUUUCAAACCCAGAAUAAGAAAUGGAAUUCAUCUUACACUCCAAUGCUUGUCUUGUUAAGCUCUGAUCCAAAGCCAUUAAGGUGGCUGCAGCUGCUAUAACUGACGGUCUAUGAUCCAUCAAAUUGAUCUCUCUUAUUAAAGCAGAGAUGAAUCCCACAAUUCUAGAUAAUAUAUGUCUUGGUGGAGAGUCUUUGAAGAAUUUUAUGAUCAAAUAAUGAAGAAAAGCAAAAGGAGUAAUGGAAAUCAUUCUCCAUUCCAAUGUGUUUAGUACCAAAAACUCCAUUCUUUGAAUUACUUUGCUUUCAAAAUUGUAAUCCUCAGUGUGAAAUUCUGAUAAAGCAGGUGCUUUUAUCUCCUCCAUUUUUGCAGCCAAAGAAAGACAUGCCACUGAUAGUAAUCUGACAGCCCAUAAUUUCUCAUUCUCAAUAGACCUCUUGGAGAGGAAUCUAUCAAAGUAUGUAAUGGACAAAUAAGCUGUUUGGAAGCGGAAACCAAACAUUGCUCUAGUUUUAAGAAUCCAUGCGAUGGCUUCCAAGCGGACACAUUUGACCCAGUUGUCAAAACCCAUAGAUUGAUCACUUUUGAAACUAAAAGUGAUAUCUCUCUCAACCAACAUUUCCAAAUACCCAUUUUCUUCUUCUGCUCUACAUAAAUCAGCACUACCUUUUGUCAUGUCAAUGAAUGUGUCUUCAUCCGUCACUUCUUCUGCGAGACAAGUCUCGCUUUCUUGACAAAAAAGCUCAGAGAUAGAUUCACCUUCCAUGUUCUUUUCCUUCCUCUUCUUUCUAUCUAUAAAUGAAAUCUAUACCAGAAGUGCUACUAAACCCAUGUUUUAGAGAGAGAGAGAGGAAAAGGAAAGGGAUGAAGAUAAUGGGUAGCUGAAAUCUGAGCAAGAAAUGCGUUUUGCUGUUUUAUUUUUAAGGAUUGAAAGAAAAAAACUAAUUGGUUUGCUUUGGUUUUUUCUGGUGUGGUUUGUUAUGCAGCAUGUAUCUUCACCGUCUUU
rnacentral:misc_RNA from 1 species